CAUGAUUAAAAAUACUAUUAUUUUGUAGUGUGAGGAUUUCCAUGCGCUUUUAAGAGAUUCUGAUGAUGAGGUAAGCUAGUUUUAUUUAUUUCCUUCUGUGGCUUAUUUUUACAAUGUAUAGUUUUUUGCCCCACCUAGAAAAAGACUAUUCACUAUUUUUAAUUUAUUUAGUGCCUGAGUGAAACAUCUCAAAUAUUCAUUGAAAAUUAUUUUAGUGAUUCAGGAGAUGAACUCUUAAGUGAAACUUCGCAGAUAUUUUUGGAGAAUCCUUUGGUUUUGCCUCUUUACUAUCAAGUAGGCUCGGGAUAUGAGACUCAACCUUCUGCUCCAUCUAAAGGACCUGCAUAUGUGGAACAUGACAUUUCAGUAAAUAUGGAAAAUGCUAUUAUACUCAAAGAGAAGGCACGGCGUCGUAACCGAAAGUAUCAAGGCGAGGAAAUAACCUUCCAGGCACGUGUUGAUAUGAAUCGUCUGCCUCAAAAUAUUCGCAACAGGCCUCUUCUAGCCGUAACUGAAUCUGUUAGACAGCUGUUUGAAAUAUUAAUUCAACGGUCAACAGAAAAUCUAAGGCCGACAGAUUGGAUACGAAUGUGUAUCCAAGCCGAUGGAUUGGAUAAACCCAUGUCUACGAAAAUUAUUGCCGUAUCUUCCAUGACGGUGGAGACCGUAUUAUCGG